AUUGAACGCUGGCGGCAGGCCUAACACAUGCAAGUCGAGCGAGCGGCGGACGGGUGAGUAAUGUAUGGGGACUGCCCGAUAGAGGGGGAUAACUACUGGAAACGGUUGCUAAUACCGCAUACUAUCGGAUAACCCAUAGGGGAUUAGCUAGUAGGUGGGGUAAAGGCUCACCUAGGUGACGAUCUCUAGCUGGUCUGCGAGGAUGAUCGGCCACACUGGGACUGAGACACGGCCCAGCCUCCUACGGAGGCCGCAGUGGGGAAAAUUGGACAAUGGGCGCAAGCCUGAUUCAGCCAUGCCGCGUGUAUGAAGAAGGCCUUAGGGUUGUAAAGUACUUUCAGCGGGGCGGCGUUACCCGCAGAAGAAGCACCGGCUAACUCCGUGCCAGCAGCCGCGGUAAUUC
rnacentral:rRNA from 1 species